GCGCGGUUAGCUCAGCGGGAGAGCAUCACCUUGACACGGUGGGGGUCACUGGUUCAAUCCCAGUAUCGCGCACCA
rnacentral:tRNA from 3 species